rnacentral:rRNA from 1 species
AGGACGAACGCUGGCGGCGUGCUUAACACAUGCAAGUCGAGCGGUAAGGCCUUUCGGGGUACACGAGCGGCGAACGGGUGAGUAACACGUGGGUGAUCUGCCCUGCACUUCGGGAUAAGCCUGGGAAACUGGGUCUAAUACCGGAUAUGACCUCCUAUCGCAGUGGUGGGUGGUGGAAAGAUUUAUCGGUGCAGGAUGGGCCCGCGGCCUAUCAGCUUGUGGUGGGUAAUGGCCUACCGAAGGCGACGACGGGUAGCCGACCUGAGAGGGUGACCGGCCACACUGGGACUGAGACGACGGCCCAGACCUCCGUACGGGAGGCAGCAGGUGGGAAUAGUUGCAC